GGGGAUUUAGCUCAGUGGCAUAAGUGCCUGCCUUGCAAGCAGGCAGAUGUGAGUUCAAUCCCUG
rfam:Cavia porcellus supercont2_18 genomic scaffold, whole genome shotgun sequence.